UUUAUAUAUAUUUUCAGAAAGUUUGCUGGAAAGGAGAUAGAAGAAGAAGACAGCUUACUACCUAUCAUGAAGCUUCGGGGGUUUUAUAAACAGUGGAGAAAGGUGUAUUAAUGGCCGAGAGAAAAGAUCACCAAGGAGUCAAGGGACUACGACCGGUUUUGAAAAAGGGCUCGGAGGUGGUUGUUAAUUACGGCUUAUGCCACCACUCUCGUACAAAGAACCCAGCAACGGAAGGGCCACCAAAUUGCACAGCUCAGUGUGUGCCAGGAAAGUACGGACUUCAUGAAUGUAUCUAUGACUGUAUAGUGGCUGGGUACGACUAUGGAACGUGUAAUCCGAACCCUACUGGAAAAUGUUGUUGUGCCUACGAGGGCCAUGACCGAUAAAAACUGAUCUUAUGUAUUCUUAUAAUUGGUGAUUUGACGAUGGAUUAUGUUGUUCUUAGUAUUAUGUUUUAAAAGGUGACUUUUUCUAUUGUUCUUUCUCAAUUUUAUUUGGUAAUAAAUUUAGCGAAACAAACUAAUUUUUAUUGUUGUAUGGUUUUUAUUGCCUUUAGUAAACGAAAUUUAAAAACAAAAAACAAAAAAAAAAUCGUUUGAUUAGAGUGUUUAGGUCAAACAGCUCAAAACAGAGAUGUUGUAUGUAUCAUAUAUAUAUAUAUGCAAAUUACUGGAUCAUAUAUUGAGCCUGAAUAUUAUUCGUAUCCUCACUGAUAUGUGGUGCUUUGUGGGAUAUGUCCACUCAAACUCCUCUUAUCGAGUCCAUCAAAACAUCAACACCUUCUGCUUCGGUCUCAUUGUUCCAUGGCCGUAAAAUAAUGAGAUACUCCAUCAAUGUUUUUUUUUUUUUUUUUGGUAAAAUACUCCAUCAAUGUUGAGUUUUCAUCUUCUAUUCUAUCAUAUAAUGGGCUUUUGUGUUUAAUAAUAAGAUCUCUGAUGAUUAUAUGUUGGACUGGACUCCUUAGCCGAAAGAGACCAUACAAAUAUUAUAAGUAAAAAAGAAGUAUUAAAUUAUAAGCUUUUUAGUUUUUGCUAUAUAAUAAAAAUCAUCCCAUUGAAAAUAUAAAAAUAUAUCUAUUAAUAUUUUGAGAAAAAUUCAUAUAAAUACCUCAACUGAAUUUUAAUAAGCUUUUUGAUAGCCAAACUGAUGACAAAAAAAAAAGAUAGCCAAACUUUUUUGCUAUCCGGAUUAAUUCUGAAAAUAAUCAUUUUGCUCAGUUUAAUACACUUAAUUUUAAAAUUAUUAUCAUUUUAAUACAGAAACUAUUUUCAUUUUAACAAUAAACACUAAUUUUCUAAAAACUAACUUUUAAAAUCCCUACAAUUCAUAAACAAAUCUUAGAAAAGUUCAAAUUUUCUUUUAAGUUUCAAGAAAAAUAUUAACUAAAUUUUGGAUAAAUUUUUAAAAUUUAUAAAAACUGAAUUCUGAAUAAAAUAAAAAAAUUAGUAAAAUAUUUACGAAAAAAACUAAGUUUGGAAUUAAAACAAAUACUUAUCUCAUAAUUUUUAAAAAUUAUCCAAAUUUUAGAUAUUUUUAUUCCAAAACUUAAAAAUAAAAUUAGAUAUUUUAAGAUUUAGCUUUAAAUUUUAAAUUUAUUUUUGUAAAAUAUGAAACUUACUAAUAUUUUUGAUUAAAAACAUAGUUUAAGUAUUAGAAUGAGCAUAGUAUUCAAAGUAAAUGUAUUAAAAGGAGCAAAAUAAUUAGUUUGGUUAUUAUACUGGAUAACAAAAAAGUGGGUAUUAAAAAGCUAAUCAACAUUUUAGUUGGGUAUUUUUAUGAAAUUUUCCUUAAUAUUUUAGCAAAAUGUUGUUAGUAGAUUUUGUCCAAAAAGGAUAAUCUUAACAAAUACGGAAAUUUUAUUUAUAGUCAAAGCAACAAAAACGCACUAAACUGAAACGUUUUGACAGGAACUACACAAAUAUAAAAUAAUUUAAAUAUAUUUAAAGUGUUUUCAUUUCUAGCUAAAAUUUAAAUUAAUUUUUAUAUUUUUAUCACGUCAAAUUUGUCUAUUUAUUUUACAAAUCAUAAACUUAGCUAAACAUAAUCUAAUUAUUUUACAGAUCGAAUUACAAAUCAUAAAAUAUAAUUUUUCAAAAAUUUGUUCUAAUUUAGUGUCUAACGAUAUGUCACUUCGACUAUUUUUAAUAAAGAAACAUCUAACUAAUAGUUGUAGUCUAAACUAUAGAUCUAAUGUUAAAUUUUCAAAAUUGCUCUUCACUUUAAUACACAGUCACACGCAUAAAAUAAAAGGAUAUUAUCGUAAACUAAGCUUGUCAUCAUUUGCCUUUGUUGUGGAAACUCAUCAUCUGUCGACUCGAAAAAAGUUUUUCUUUCUCCAAGAACAAAUCCUUUUUUCUUCUAUGUGUUUGCCUCUUGAAAUUUUCCGGAUAAAAUCUCUGAUUGAUUUAGAGACUUAAGGGUAAAAAAAGUACUGGUGCUGAGAAGAGUAGUGAUUUGGAGAAGAGUUUGGAAGUCGUUUCUAGCGGUUUCAGCGCGUAGUUUGCUCUUCUCCUUCACCCUUCUUCUCGCUCUCAAGCUUGAUCGUGUUCUUUCUCAAUCAUGGUGGUCAGUUUCUUUCUUUCUUUUUUCAUAAUUUGCUGCAUUGACUUCUUUGUAUAGUCAAAGUUGGGAUAAUUAUCUGAAUCAGUUGAUGAGUUUCUUUGAUAUUGAGUUUUGACUAAGUUUAGUUUAGGUACAAACUAUAAAAAAUAUAUCCUUGUGUGUUUAACGAUGUCUAAAGUAGAAGCCCUUAUCAUCCUUUGGCUCUGUUUUUUGCAGAUUUAUAUGUACACCCUUGUGGCUGUUUCGUGCUGUGAUUUCUCGUGGUAGAUUUCGCUGCAUGCUACAUCUAUGACAUCUUUAGUGGUUAUCACCUUUGCUCUUUGUUAGCAUCAUGUUGUUUGUAAAUUUUAAAUUCCGGGUUUGUGGCAGUGGGCUCCUUUUCAAUCUGUUAUGGCAACGCCACUGCUUGUUGCUUUUGAGAUCAUGCUCUGUGUACAUCUUGAAGAUCAAUAUGGUAUACUCUUUAACUUGUAUUAUUAAUCGCGGCUGUAUUUAUAGCUGGUGUGUUUGUUUAUGAUAGAUUUGGUUGUGUCCCUGACUCCUUGUGUUGUAGUUGUUUAUGAUAUAUUUGGUUGUGUUUUA